AGCUUGGCGCAGUGGCAGUGUCGUAGCCAAUGAAGUUUAUCUAAGGUGCGAUUAUUGCUAAUUGAAAACUUUUCCCAAUACCCCGCCAUGACGACUUGCAAUACAGUCGGCACUGGCAAUUUUUGACAGUCUCUAUGGAGG
ensembl:snRNA U4 U4 spliceosomal RNA